GGAUAUAGCUCAGUUGAUAGAGUGCUUGCCUUACCUGGGCAAGGUCCUGGGUUCAAUCCCCAGUACCA
rnacentral:tRNA from 1 species